rnacentral:rRNA from 1 species
AUACGUAGGGGGCGAGCGUUGUCCGGAAUGAUUGGGCGUAAAGGGCGCGUAGGCGGCCCGGUAAGUCUGGAGUGAAAGUCCUGUUUUUAAGAUGGGAAUUGCUUUGGAUACUGUCGGGCUUGAGUGCAGGAGAGGUAAGUGGAAUUCCCAGUGUAGCGGUGAAAUGCGUAGAGAUUGGGAGGAACACCAGUGGCGAAGGCGACUUACUGGACUGUAACUGACGCUGAGGCGCGAAAGUGUGGGGAGCGAACAGGAUUAGAUACCCUGGUAGUCCACACUGUAAACGAUGAAUGCUAGGUGUAGGGGGUAUCGACCCCUUCUGUGCCGCAGUCAACGCAAUAAGCAUUCCGCCUGGGGAGUACGGCCGCAAGGUUGAAACUCAAAGGAAUUGGCGGGG